GUGAAUGCAAUCUCACUUUUGUUUUAAAUCUUUUCGAAGUGCUUAAGGCGGAGAAGCAACUUUUGUUUGAUUCAAUGUCUAUUUAGACUAUGCAGUUAGAAAUAUAACUUUUUUUUUUUUUAUGGUUCUUACAAAGUUUUAGAAACGGAUUUGAGGGAAAAAAAGUAACUGUUCUGGCUUUUUCUGCUUCGUUUGUGGGAUGUUUAAGUUUGGGAUCAAAAAUAUUGAAACUUAUUCUCAAUGAUGGUAAGCUCUUUUUUAUUUGUCUAUGAGAAAAACAAGAUGCCCUAUCCUACUGUGUCGUGGUGGGACAUCCCAAAUUGUGGACUUUUUAUUACAUAUGUUGGUAUUGGAGUUAGUAUGGCUGUGUGGGUUUUUUUGUGGGGAAUAAUUAUGUGGAUAAAUUUUCUAAUCAUAGUUAUUAAAAUUGCAAAUUUUUGAGGAUUUAACCCAA
rnacentral:misc_RNA from 1 species